GACGAACGCUGGCGGCGUGCUUAACACAUGCAAGUCGAACGGUGAAGCGCCUUCCUUUUUGGUGGGUGUGGAUGAGUGGCGAACGGGUGAGUAACACGUGAGUAACCUGCCCCCUUCUUCUGGAUAACCGCAUGAAAGUGUGGCUAAUGCGGGAUAUUCUGGGUCUGUCGCAUGAUGGGUCUGGGAAAGAUAUUGUUUCGGUGGGGGAUGGGCUCGCGGCCUAUCAGCUUGUUGGUGGGGUGAUGGCCUACCAAGGCGGUGACGGGUAGCCGGCCUGAGAGGGUGGACGGUCACACUGGGACUGAGACACGGCCCAGACUCCUACGGGAGGCAGCAGUGGGGAAUAUUGCACAAUGGGCGCAAGCCUGAUGCAGCGACGCCGCGUGAGGGAUGGGGGCCUUCGGGUUGUGAACCUCUUUCGCCAGUGAAGCAGGCCUGCCUCGUUUGUGGGUGGGUUGACGGUAGCUGGAUAAGAAGCGCCGGCUAACUACGUG
rnacentral:rRNA from 1 species